rnacentral:rRNA from 1 species
GACGAACGCUGGCGGCGUGCUUAACACAUGCAAGUCGAGCGAGGCCCCUCCUUCGGGAGGGUGUCCUAGCGGCGAACGGGUGAGUAACACGUGGGCAACCUGCCCUCAGCUCUGGGAUAACUCCGGGAAACCGGGGCUAAUACCGGAUACGACCUCCACGGGCAUAUGCGGAGGUGGAAAGUUUUUCGGCUGAGGAUGGGCCCGCGGCCUAUCAGCUAGUUGGUGGGGUAGUGGCCCACCAAGGCGACGACGGGUAGCCGGCCUGAGAGGGCGACCGGCCACACUGGGACUGAGACACGGCCCAGACUCCUACGGGAGGCAGCAGUGGGGAAUAUUGCGCAAUGGGCGAAAGCCUGACGCAGCGACGCCGCGUGAGGGACGAAGGCCUUCGGGUUGUAAACCUCUUUCAGCUGGGACGAAGCGAAAGUGACGGUACCUGCAGAAGAAGCACCGGCCAACUACGUG